rfam:Tupaia chinensis contig21653, whole genome shotgun sequence.
UAGCGUGUUUCCAAGGGCCAUGCGCUGGUGGCCACGGGCUCUUCACCUGCCUGCGAGAGCAGCCUGGAGGGACUUGGACUGCCCAGGUCACAGGGCACCUGCAGCUGCACUGGCCUUCCUGUGCUU